AUUGAACGCUGGCGGCAGGCCUAACACAUGCAAGUCGAACGAGUGGCGGACGGGUGAGUAAUGUCUGGGAAACUGCCUGAUGGCGGGGGAUAACUACUGGAAACGGUAGCUAAUACCGCAUACCAUCGGAUGUGCCCAGAUGGGAUUAGCUAGUAGUGGGGGUAAAGGCGCACCUAGGCGACGAUCCCUAGCUGGUUUGAGAGGAUGACCAGCCACACUGGAACUUGUACACGGCCCAUACUCCUACGGGAGGCAGCAGUGGGGAAUAUUUCACAAUGGGCGCAAGCCUGAUGCAGCCAUGCCGCGUGUAUGAAGAAGGCCUUCGGGUUGUAAAGUACUUUCAGCGGGGAGGCGUUACCCGCAGAAGAAGCACCGGCUAACGCCGUGCCAGCAGCCGCGGUAAUUC
rnacentral:rRNA from 1 species